ensembl:lncRNA
CGGGGAUGAAACGUUUGCCGCCGAAUACGUCACUCCCAUUUCUUGCGAGAUGGUCUGACUGCUUCAUUUUCUCUGGCGGUUGCUUCGGUCUAAUGGACCGCGGUCGUCCGGCGGCAAGACGCUUUUAAAUACAAGGCUACUCUCAAAAUCGACCGGCCAUGUUGGUUUGGACACACAUUCGCAUCAGUUCGUCGCUCAAUCGCGAGUUACAGCCUGCAGUUUGCUAGCUAGCAAAGUCAUCGACUACCAUCGUUUAAAUACCUUAACCGGUUAUGCUCUGGCCAUCUUCACCCAAGAGACCUACUGUUGGUCAAUUGUUUUGGCUUUAAAGGUAAAUGCAUUGUUAGUCACACUGUCUAGUCACUGGGCCAAAAGGAAAAUAAUAUUGAAAAGAGUUGAGAGGGACAAACAGGACAUUCACUUGAAUCACUACAUGCUACAGAAGUUGCAUCGAUUCCAGAAAACCAGGAAAAUGUUGAGCCAUCUGUAGACUUCAGAGCUGAACCAGGUUUCUCCCCAGUAAUCCAGACUCCACUUCACAGAGCCAAGAGUUUGAGUACAACUCGUCAAGUACUAAGCUUUACACCACCAGCAGCAAAUUUACACUGGCAGCAUAUGGGUGAAAACGCUGGAUGCAUGUAAUACGUUGCGCUAAACUAAGUUUUACAUUUAAGUCCAAUUCAUUAAAUGUAUGCAAUUACUUCAAACAUAUUUUUACGUCAAUGAUUAUCAAUAGGAGAAAGUAAUCACUUUGUUAUUGGCCCUUGGACGCCCCUGGCAUCUCGUGUACAGCACAAAGUUUUCAGCUAUGAAGGUAUAUUCUAGGCCUAUGUCUUAUUGUCCAGUGUUUUAACAGUAUUGAAAAUAUUGCCUUUAGUAGUUGUUUUUUUAAUUUUUUUAUGUAGAUUUCCAGAGACUCCAGAAUGAAAACCAAGCCCUGAGGGAAUGCAAUGCACAAGCAGCUUCGGAUGACAGCGGCUCACUUCAAGAGCAAGUGAAGCAAGUAGGGACAAUGUUGAAGACGUUUGCUCUCACUGGGCAAUCAGGUGCGUUACCUAAAAGGAGCAUCGGACCGUGAAGGCAGAAAAAGGCGCCGCACAGCUGAGAAGGACCCACAGCCGACCCCUAAACCUAGGCUACUGACACCCCAGCAUCACUGAACUGGAACACUUUCUUUAUCCUGCAGUCAGUAACAUCAAGAAGCCAGAAGUGCCAGACUACACUCACCAAAUCCACCCUGUUUUUUUUGGUAUUUUAACUUUAGUAUUGGCUUAUUUCAUUCCGUCUUAACGAUUCUAUUAUAGUUUGUAAAUCCUUUUUCAUACCUGUUACUUGAUAUUGCACAUUAACUAGUACCAAAAUUCUACUUUCAUUUCAUCAGUGUGCUUAACUGUUAUUCUAUUAAUAAUAGCUUGGAAAUACUAUUUCAUACCUCUGAUACUUGAUAUUGCACAUUACCUGGUACCAAAUAUUCUACUUACUCUGUUUUUAACAUCAGCAUUUUUCAUUCCGUCACAGUGCUUAACUGUUAUUCUAUUGUUAAAUAUAGCUUGUAAAUCCUUGUGCCACAGGUCAGCAUUGCAUUUAUAAUGGUCUGUUCUACUACUGUUUUUACCUCCGUAUUUUUAUAUAAAUAUAUAUGUCAAGUUUUGUUUAUCACAGAUACAAGAGACAGAUCUUAUUGCAGCACGGUGUAAAUCUUGUGCUACAGGUCAGCAAUGCCAUUAUAAUGGUAUAUUCUACUCUAGAGCUUUACUCUAAAUUAUUACCACUUUUCCUAUUGUUAGAAAUGGCUUGAAAAUGUGAUGUUAUACCUCGAUUUAUUUGGUAUCCUGCAUGUUCUUUGGUACCAAAUAUCCUCAUUACUUGUUAUGUUUACUGGUAAUUAUUUUCAUCCCAGAGCUGACCUUUUUAUAUUAUUAACAAUUAUUGUGUUUGUGUUAUAAUUUGCUCGUAUUGCUGUUUUUUUUUAACCAAAAUUUAAUUGGAAACCUGCAUGUUCUGUAGUGUGUAUUUAUAUGUAUAUUUUUUUCUGCCUGUUAUUUAUUUCAGUGAUCUGACACAUCUUGUUUGAAUGACAGUUACUGUACUUUGAAAUGUGGAA